GGGCUUGUCCGGUUUGGGAGCACGGACAAGACUCUUAAUCCUCAGGUUGUAGGUUCGAUUCCUACCGAGCUCA
rnacentral:tRNA from 1 species